rnacentral:tRNA from 1 species
GGGGUUGUGGCUCAGUGGUGGAGUGCUUGCCUAGCAUGCAGGAGGUGCUGGGUUCGAUCCUCAGCACCA